rnacentral:rRNA from 1 species
UGCGCAGGCGGAAUAUUAAGUCAGUGGUGAAAUCUUACGGCUCAACCGUAAAACUGCCAUUGAUACUGAUAUUCUUGAGUAUAGUUGUAGUGGGCGGAAUAUAUCAUGUAGCGGUGAAAUGCUUAGAUAUGAUAUAGAACACCGAUCGCGAAGGCAGCUCACUAAACUAUAACUGACGCUCAGGCACGAAAGCGUGGGGAGCAAACAGGAUUAGAUACCCUGGUAGUCC